GUUUCGAAAAUUCACCAUGACGUCGCCGUGGAGUUAUCCAGUCUGCUCAGCUGAUUGGAGAGCUAGCUUCCGCAUGACCAUGAGUUCUGUUUUGUUGGAUCAGCCGUUUUACUGCCGUGUUACGGACACCGUUUGGAAACAAUUAUGGAGUUCUCGCCUGGGAGUGCCAUCUCCGGGUUGGGGAGGAGAUCAAGUACCUAGGAGUUGUCGCGACGGAGGGGGUCGUUCUCCCAGGAAGGCAGACGGACAACUCAAGACAUGGCGUUUAAGUGACUAAAAAGAUUCAAACAAAACGUGGACAUUCUGGACGUUCGGCGUCAAAUUGGCUUCCCCCCCCUCUCUCCUCCCUUCCUCCGUCCAGGUCUGGGUGCCUCUCCGGGUUGUCAGAGGACACGUCAGGACUUAAUGCUUUCCAAUCUUCUCCCCAACACACACUGUCGCCUCUCAUUUACGGAGCCGCUGACAAGGACGGCGGCCCGUCUCCACGCCUUCGUCCCCCCGCCCACUCCUCGCUGCCUCUGCCGUGCUCACAAGUCAUUAGUCCACCACCUGAGCCAUCAGCCCCACUUCUCACCUCACCCCGGGUACGUAUUAAUAACAAUUCUCACGCUUUUAUUCACUUUUCUGUAACUGUUCAUCCGCUCCUGGCCGGUGUGACCAAAUCCAGAACUCGCUCUGUGUGUAGUCAUCGUCUUCUGUCCGACACUUUCCUAUCUAUUUGUCUCCGUGUCAGCGCUCACCACCACUUUAGUCCCCCUUACCGUGCCAGCAAGAGUAAACACUAGUUGCCCGGCAUCAAUCACGUAGCACACACACACACACACACACACACACACACACACACACACACACACACAGGUCUCCAAUUUCUUCCCUCCUCCCAACAAUUGAACACAGAAAACAGUCACAACAACCUCAAACGAGACAAUAUGCGGCGUGUGUGUGUGUUCUUGUAUGUCUACCCUUCUCGAGACGUGAAGAAGGAAAAGUAUCUUCCAUAUGAGGAGGUGUGAAGAAGUGAUGACAUAAAUCAUGAUCCCAAUAACAUUGCAUCUAAUAGACAAUGACUCAUUUGCACCCCUUGUGGUCAAAAUAAGGAUGGUCCCCAAAAGGACGGAUUUUUCAAAGUGACCGUGUGUCGCUUUUAAAAGUGCCCCCCCCCCCCCCCCCCCCUGGUCAACAUAUGAAAUAACAAGUGUGUGUUUAAAAUUGGAAGUGCUUCCCCUCUUGUCAACAUAUGAAGUAACAAGUGUGUGUUUAAAAUUUGAAGUGCUUCCCCUCAGGUCAACAUAUGAAAUAACAAGUGUGUGUUAAAAUUGGAAGUGCUCCCCCUCUGGUCAACAUAUGAAGUAACAAGUGUGUCUUUGAAAUUUGAAGUGCUCCCCAUCUGGUCAACAUAUGAAGUAACAAGUGUGUGUUUGAAAUUUGAAGUGCUCCCCCUCUGGUCAACAUAUGAAGUAACAAGUGUGUGUUUGAAAUUGGAAGUGCUCCCCCUCUGGUCAACAUAUGAAGUAACAAGUGUGUGUUUGAAAUUUGAAGUGCUCCCCCUCUGGUCAACAUAUGAAAUAACAAGUGUGUGUUAAAAUUGGAAGUGCUCCCCCUCUGGUCAACAUAUGAAAUAACAAGUGUGUGUGAGAAAUUUAAAAUGCGCCCCCAUUGGCAAAAAUGUAUUAAAAAAAAAAUAUAUAUGUAUAUAGAGACAUACUGUAAUAACUUGAGAUAGUGACGAUUAAAAACAAUUACAAAAUGAUAAUAGUAGAUUUUAUUUGUAAAAAAAAAAGCACUUCUGUCUAUCCGUGUUGGCCUUGCAAUGAGGUGGCGACUUGUCCAGGGUGUACGCCGCCUUCCGGCCGAAUGCAGCUCCACAUAGGCUCCAGCUACCACCCCAGCGACUCCAAAAGGCACAAGCGGUAGAAAAUAAAUGGAUGGCACUUUAGAUUGAGCAAACAACCUCAAACUGCUACAGUGUAUUAAAAAAAUAAAAUAAAAAGAUAAUAAUUAAAAAUAAAAAAACUAGAACAGCCUAAUAGCUAGAACUAGUUAGUAUAUGUCCAAAAAAAGGCUUAAAGAAGGGUUUUUAAGCCUUUUUUAAAAGCAUCCACAGUCUGUGGUGCCCCCAGGUGGUCAGGGAGAGUGUUCCACUGACUGGGAGCGGUGGAGCAGAAAGUCCGGUCCCACCAUUGUUCGUAGCUUUGUCCUCGGAGUUUGGAACAAAAUAAACUAAA